CUAACACCAGCAGAACCAAUAUUUUGAAUAUUUAUAUAACGAACACAAAGAAUGAUAAAAAUUAAUUUAUACAAAAAAAAAAAGUAGCAAUCGAUGCACCGCUGCUUAGUAAAGCUUUAUUCUCAUUUGAAUUUCUCUUCGACAGAUAGGACAUAACUGAAGGCUUUCUCCACAUUCGCGGCAUGUCUGAUGACCGCAACCAAAGGCCAUGUUCUUCGCAUUAGUGAGGCAUAUGGGACAAACCUGAUUAUCAUAAGUUGAACUUGGAGCAGAUGGAGCUGAGCUGGCAGGUCGGCUGUCAACCGGAUAAGAAGGAACACUUGGCUUAUAACUGCUAGAUCGAGAAGGUUUAGAGCUGCUGAAAGAUGCUGCACCAUAUAAAGGUGGAGGGAGAGGAACCCUCUCAGAAACAUUCCCCUUGCCACGACCCAAUAUAUUAAGCUCUAUUGUUGCUUUAUAUUGAGAAGGAAUUUCCAUUAGAGCAGCAAGAGCAAAUUCUGUCUCCUUUCGGGAUGAGUCCACACGCUUUGACAUGAUUUCUGUGAAAUUUACAAACUGGAAAUUAUCAAACUCUCGAGCAGGGAUG
rnacentral:misc_RNA from 1 species